UUUUUUUUUUUGUCAAGACUUCCACCAAUGUUAUUUUGUGAUGAAACUUUACAUGCACUUCAAACAUUCCUUAAAUUUUAUCGCAAAAAAAUCAUAAUUUUUUGAAUAUUUUUUUAUCUUUUUCGAUUUUACUCUUCACACCAAAAACAUUUGAGCUCGGGCUCGGGCUGAGAAAGAUACUUCCGUCGUAGCAACCCGGCCCGAAUAGAUUAGUGUACCAAGGAGACGGUGAGUAUAGUUGUGGACGUCAACGUCGUCGUGUGAAUUUUGUGCAUGCAUGCGUGCAUGAGUGGCUUUCAACUUUUGGAUUUGCCUUUGAAAAUGCAUGCGACGGAUGGCCACUCAUCGAUGGAUGGAUGGGUAUCCCUCCCUCUCCCUGCUGGGAGUGAAGUGCUUCUCCUUUUUGGCAAAGCUAUCAAUCAGCCUAGUUUGCAGCAACACUCAAUUAGACACCACAAGCAAGGGAAGGGCUUGCAUGAUCGUCGACACAUUGCUAAAAGUAACAACCAAAGGUCCUCGUUGCCAAGUACGAGUAGCUUAGCUAUCUGGCUUUUCCAAACGUGAUGGAUGCGUGGAUGCAUGGCAUUGAUUGCUCUGACCAAUUGAUCGAUGCAUCAUCAUACCAUAUCAUAUCAUAUCACCAAUAUCAUCCGUUAAUUCUAUUUUUCGUAUACAUACAAGUUUUUUUCAAAAAAAAGAAGAAGUUGAAAUUAGAUGUGCCAGCGGUCGGGUCACAAAAGCAGCUUCAAGAUUUGGUGGCCAUUGAUUUCAAAAAUAAAUAUUGAUGGCUAUUUCUAAGUGAGUUUUUUAUUUGAUAAUAAUUUUUUUGCGAGUGAUUUUUCAAUAAUGAUAGCCGCCUCCCUAUGAACAUACAGCAGAUAUCCGGUGAAAUAGGACACAAAUUUCCAUUAUCAUCAGCAACAUCUCACAUGCAUGCAGAUUCUCAUUUUGUUUGGUUGGCCCUCUGGCUAGUUGUACCAGUUUUCUAGUUAGCUCAACUCCUGAUAGCUAGGUCUUCAUGCCAUGGUCUAGAGACAAUAUCUUGUCUUGUAGUAUUUCCAAACACAACUCCUUGAACUUCAAGGUGGUCGGUCGUCCUGGCAAGCCCGGCCAUUAACUCAUGAAGAUUACUACCGACCCAAGAAAAACCAUUGCUUCAUGCUUGGGAUACAUAUUACAUACAUACAUGUUCAGAUUGAGCUAUCUUAGCUUGUAAGGGUGCAUGCAUGAUGCAAAACACUCAACAAUGAUUGUGACGCCUCACAUGUACUACAACCUAGCCUGCCUGCUCCUGCUAGCUUUGUCCAUGCUUAAAGCUCAAGGCACCACCACAAAACACACACUUGCUUGUGUUUUCAUUCUUUCCUGCCCCUUUUAAUCCUCUCUCUUUUCACACAGAGCCAUGCAUGCAUGGUACUCAGUAUAUGAUGGAAUUGGAACGGAAUCAUGCAUGCAUGGAUCCAUGUUGCUGCUGAUGUCCUUCCUUUCUUUCUUUUUGGUCACGUACGUACGUGAAAUGCCUUUACUUUUAGCUCACUGGGCUCAGCAUGAACGCAUUCGGGAAAAGUUGAGAGAGGAAAAGAUCGACAACAGUACGUACUCGCUAGCUGGGACGCCAGGGAACAAUGAUAGAGCAUGCUUUUACUAUAUGACAAAGUUGUUACCGAAUCUGUAUUUUUUAGUUACAUUCACGUUUGAUCAUUGGCCAUUUCGGUUCAACAGGCAGAUCUGUCGUACGUGCUACACAUGGAUGAAAUUAUCAAGUUGGUAUACUAGCUUUGGCAAGCUUGUAGUACGUACGAAGGUUGAUGAUGGAGUUUGUUGUCCGCCGUACCAUGCAUACAUGAAACGUGUACGGGUUAGCUCAAUAUAUGCACUUUGAACUACGUACUAGCCCACGAACCUACAAGGCAACCACUCGUCUGAUGAGCAUUUAUUUUUCUCUCUGAUUUUUUUCUUGUGAAAAGGAGGUUAAACCCCCAGGCACAUCCAUUCUUAUUAAUUAGUCUUAAACAGAGUACAGAACAAAAUUUAAUCAUAGCCAAACCAUUACAAGAUGUGAAAUAAACACCGACGAAUAAGUCAAAUUUCUUCCGUAGCAACGCCUUCAAUGAGGGAUAAAGGUCCUCGCGGCAUCAUCCAACACCGACCUGAGGUGACCUAGACAAGGAUUUUCAUACUGGUUGCCAAGACCACUCAAUGAAAAUCGACACAAUAGCAAGUAGAAAAUGCCUAACAAAGCAAGUUUGUCACUGUUGAUCUUGACCAAUAAAAGACAAGAGAUGGGUUUUUUCACCCCCGACAAGACUUAUCUCUUAGAUUAUGCAACGUACAUUCCUGCAAAUGUAGUCGAAAAAAAUAUGACUGUUCUCAAAAGAAUAAUGUGGAGAGUACUAUCAACUAUGUCUGAUUUCAAUCUUGCACCUCAAGCCUCCGCUCUAGAAAACAAUGCAAAAUCUCAAAAACGGGUUUUGCCAGCCUUCCCACAUCCCCAUGUAUCAUCCUCUUUCGUGCGUUGUAGUCAUGUUACGCCAAAACCUAUAGUACACACCAACAAAUGUACUAUAUCGUUAUCAUUCAUGGGUACGUUUGGCUAUCAAGUAAACUGUAGAGGAUCACCAGACCGUUCUCUCCAAUUUGUAUCGUCCCAUGUUGAUACCACUUGAUAGAGGCAAAGGUGUCCCGUCUUUCGUUUUGGUGGAAGUCGACUUUGACGAUCGACUACGAACGUGUGAGGACGUCGCGCCUUAGCAAUCGCUAAACCAACUCCGAGAGGUUAUUGACCACGCCGGAGCACGAUCAACCUGACCACGAGGGUAUGUUUCCUGCGAGCAAACGAAGAACAAGCAAGAAACUGAGAUUGCAAUCUGGAUAUUGCGAAUAUAAGAUGAAAGCUUUAUUGAUCAAGGUGGGGUUCUGUGACGCCUUUGUCUGGUCGUUGAACACAAAUGAAGUACGCGAAGUUGCAGCUAUGGCGAACUUUAAUCUAAACAAAACCCAAAGUCUAAACGGUGCCCUAAGGGCUGUAUAUAUGGAGGAAGAGGGGGGGGGGGACUUUCGUGGCCCUUGGUGGAGGGGUCCGAAAUCAACCCUGUCUCUUGUUUCCCCACACAUACGGACUCUAAAAAUAGCCUAUACUUAUGUAUUUCGAAAUUACAAGGGUCUGGCCCAAUAAUAAGGUGACGCAAUACCUAGAAUAGCCUCGGGACGAAAUUUAUGAAGUGGCAUCUUGUAUAUUUCGUCCAAGGCUUCAUGCACCCAUUAUGGUGACUUCAAAGUCCUGAAAUCAUCGCUUGUAACUCCGUUCUUGUUCCCCUUGCGCAUGGCAUCAUCUCCAUGCUUGUUCUUGCUCCAAUGUUCAUCCUUCUCCAAGCUAGGCCCUUCAUUUGUAAGCAAAACAAAUGUAUCCAAUUUAGACAGCAUCAUAUUCUCAUGAACAUUAGAAUCAUUACCAAGAAACGGAAGUACCUGAUAAUUUAAUUGGCGUGCGCGAGUUCUAGUAAUUGGUCCCGUAUAUGUAGCAGUAGGGGCUGUGGGUGUAACAAUGGUAUUGAUGUCCUCAUCACAUGUUGUGGCACCUACUUUUUUCGUUGUGGAGUGGGAGUGAACCGGAAAGUAAAAUAAUCGACUCAUGACGUGGUUAAACCCCGACACAACUAAAAGUGUAUUGAGAGAAAAGGCAUAUAUGUAUUCUUAAAAAUCGUCCAGUAUGCCUCUAGAAAUGAGAAGGUAUUUUACUAAAUUAGGACAGUAAAACCGAGCCUAAUAUCAACCCUCUUAUGCACUAUGCAUUCCUGUCCGUUCAUAACUACGGCAGAUUGAGGAAGGUUGCUUUUGAGGGAUUCUUGUGGUUAACCAUUUGAUACUUUGCUCACUAAAGGAGAUUUGGGUUGGUUCUUUUUUUCCUCUAUUAAAAUCUCCCAUUGAAGACUAUGAAAGUAUAGUAGUAGUAAAAAGAAACACCCUAGCUACUACCACAUGGUAGCACCCACCACAAGGGCCACAAGACGGUCCACAGCGCUCCUCCCGCACAGUUCCAAGAGAAUUAGUGUCGCCCACCCUUUUGCUUUGGGUUGCCAGCAGCGGUGGGCCCGGCCCGUCAGCCGCACCUUUCUCCCCAGGUGGGGCUCCUUUCGUCUUUCUUUUUCACUGUCUUCCACACUGCCUUUUCUCCACUGAGACGGACAGACAGACGCACUCUCUCGCCGCCCGCCCCUAAUCCAUCCUCCUUUUGUCGAUUUUUGAACAAUCAAAGCGCCCCACUCUGCUGUUGAUUUCUUUCUCCCCAGCAGCAAAAGGAGCACCAGCAGCCUACGGAUUGCGGCGUGUGCUCAUCUUCUUCCUCCAGCUCUGCGCUGUUCCCACUUCCCACACCCGGAACCACAGGAGGAGGAGCCGCAGCAAGCAGAGCCUUUCCCCGCUCGCAGACGCUGGCAGCGCCCCGGCGGAAACAAUGGAGUGAAGGAAGGGCACAGCAGGCCGCCGUUGUGCUCCUCCUCCUCACCACCUGCGCCUGGGCUGGAAUGAGGAUCCGGUCGGUUUUGACCCCUUGAUGCUCGAGUCGAGAGGGUGUCUACUCAAGAUCGACGGACGAGCAGCAGCAGCAGCAGCUCUGGUUGCCUAGCUGCUUCUCUGCUUUUCUUGCCUCCGCGGGAGUGAGGUCUCGAGAGGGAACCCCAUGGCGUCCGCCGCCGCUCUUCUCCUCCAGCUCCAGCUGCUGCUGCUCCUCUCGCUCUCCGCUGCUCAGCCUGGUGAGUUGCCCCUCCUCCUCUUCUCGCGAGAUUCUUGGCUCUUGGGCCAUGGAGGAUUGGCGCACCUGCUUAGGUUAGAAUCCAUAGCCUUAGAUGCCGAAAGAGUUCAGAUUCCUAAGGAGGUUUCCGCAGCAUAUGCAUGUUCAUACAGUUGAUAAUCCUUUCAGAUUUCACCUUCUUAUUAUGCAACAAAUGUAUGCUAUACUAGCUAAGUUUCAGGGACCAGCAAAUAAAAAUAGCAAAUUGGGCUUGUGUGCAGGUUUCAUCAGCUUGGAUUGUGGGGGAGCCGAUGAUUACACAGAUGGCAUUGGCAUCCAGUGGACUUCUGAUGCCAAGCUGGUCUUCGGUGGGCAGGCCACAAACCUGCCGGUCCAAAACCAGCUCCAGAAGCAGUAUUCAACUCUGAGGUAUUUUCCAGCAGACAACAGCAAGUAUUGCUACACGAUGAAUGUGAGGACCAGGACACGCUACCUCGUCAGAGCUAGCUUCCUCUACAGAAACUUCGACAACAGCAACGUCUACCCCAAGUUUGAUCUCUCCCUCGGAGCCACUCCCUGGUCCACGGUCAUAAUCGAUGAUGCCGACACGCCGGUUGUAGAGGAGGCCAUUAUCUUGGCUGCCGCUCCCACACUCAGUGUCUGCCUCUCCAAUGCCAGCACAGGACAGCCGUUUAUAUCUACACUCGAGCUUCGCCAGUUUAACGGUUCACUCUACUAUACUGACUAUGAGGCACAGUUCUUCCUUGCACUGUCUGCGAGGAUAAAUUUUGGUGCUGAUGGCAAUAAAUCAGUCAGGUACUGUAUACUACUCCCUCCAUUCCAAAUUAUAAGAUGUUCUAAAAAAAUCUGAAUCAGAUGUAUAUAGACGCAUUUUAAUGUGUUUGGUCACUCAUUUCAGUCCAUAUGUAGUCUAUAUUGAAAUAUCCAAAACAUCUUAUAAUUAGGAACGGAGGUAGUACGUGAUAUGAACAUUGUCAAUAGCUUCAUAUGAACAUUGAAAACAUGUGUUUGUUCUUGCAAUCUUCUGUCCUAUUCUUAGGUUUGCAGUUAUAUUGUACCACUAGAGUGUCUGACUGUGCCAUGCUGCCACAAAAAGUUCUUCCCUUUUUGGGAGGAUACAUAACAAAGUUCUGAUCGUGCUUCACUUAGUAUCAUGUGUUUUUAGUUUUGACAUGAAAUGCCUUGUUCAAUAAAAAUAUAUAGUUGAAGGGAGCUUUCCUUUGAAUUUCUCAGGUACCCUGAUGAUCCAUUUGAUAGAAUAUGGGAAUCCGACUCUUUGAGGAGAGCGAAUUAUCUUGUUGAUGUUGCUCCAGGGACUGAAAGAAUAACAACCACAAAACCAGUAUUCGUCGGUACUGAAUUAGAACCACCUGAAAAGGUCAUGCAAACAGCGGUGGUUGGCCAAAAUGGAUCCUUGAACUACCGGCUUGAUUUGGAAGGGUUCCCGGGAAAUGCAUGGGCAGUCUCAUAUUUUGCUGAAAUUGAAGAUUUGGCCCCAGAUGAAACUAGGAAAUUUAAGUUAGUGGUUCCUGGCAUGCCAUUAUUCAGUAAACCAACCGUUGACGUGGAGGAGAAUGCGCAGGGGAAGUAUCGUUUGUACCAACCAGGUUACACAAAUGUGACACUUCCAUUUGUUUUCUCUUUCGAGUUCAAGAAGACAAAUGAUUCUUCAAAGGGACCUAUUUUGAAUGCUAUGGAAAUUUACAAACAUGUUCAGAUUACCAUGGGAUCUCAAGAUGGUAAGCACUUGUCCACAUUGUUGUUAUCAUGUUUUUUUCCGAUCAAGCUAACUGUGUAGUCUCUCUCUCAUGUGAAAAAAAGAAACUUUUUGACUAAUUGAGUGGUUCCAUAAUAUUGACAGCAAACACCAUGUCUAGCUUGGCCUCACGGUAUCCUCAAGCAGGUUGGGCGCAAGAGGGUGGUGAUCCAUGCUUACCAGUGUCAUGGACCUGGGUGCAAUGCAGUUCAGAAGCAGCACCCAGAGUUCUUUCAAUGUAUGGUAAAUUUAAUCGUGCAAUUCUGCCUUCACUUUGGAUUUAUUGAUUAAUUCCUUGUAUUAAAACCUAAGAAUUGUCCCUCACAGCACAUUGUCAGAGAAGAACAUCACAGGAAGUAUCCCUGAGGAGUUGACAAAGUUAUCCGCCUUGGUCGAGUUGUAAGCUCAGAUGGUUCAUUCUUUCCAUCCAUUUUUUUGCUUUCUCUUGUCUGAUCUACUUAUUUCUGUAAAUGCAGAAGACUCGAUGGCAACUCAUUUUCUGGUGGAAUCCCUGAUUUUAGUGGAUGCAGAAAUCUGCAGUAUAUGUGAGUUUGCAGUUUUUGUCAUAGAGCAGCAUUCUGCAGGAUUUAUAAUUUUAUAUUGAACUAAUCCAACGUGGUUUCAUAUAUAUGCAGUCACCUCGAAAACAAUCAGUUAAAUGGUGCACUGCCAUCCUCUUUGGGAGAACUACCUAACCUCAAAGAGUUGUAAGUUCUUCAUAAUUUUGUGCACUUAGUUUAUCCACCCCUUACUAUGGAGAAUGGAAGUUGAUCCAGUGGUCCAGACUGUCCUUCCUCUCUUUGUUUCCUGGUGUUCUGUGCUCAAAUUUUUGUCGAUGCUAUUAAUUUUAUCUUUCUGGUAUAAAUGCAUUUGAUCAAGAGUCUUUACAAAAAUAGAACUUCUGCACUUACUCAUUCCCAACCAUUGCAGGUAUAUUCAGAACAAUAGGCUUUCCGGACAUAUUCCAAGGGCACUUUCCAAGAAGAGCAUUAUUUUCAAGUCAGUACUUUCUCUUUAGGCAGAUGUAGCUAGCAUAUUUUAGAUUAAUUAAUGUGUAAUAUUGUGCUUGAGAACACUACUGUGGCUGGACAAGCUUCACUUUGUGACAUACAGUGGUAACAUACGUAGAGAGCAACAAUGGUCCUUCAGGAGCCAAGCAAUAGUAUUAGCCACAAUGAUAGUGUUCUUUAGGAUGUUCCUUCUGUUCUAAUUUCUUACCUGCUGCAGCUCGUCAGGCAAUAAUCUUCAGGGGCCAAGUGAUAGUAUUAGCCGCGGCACCAUCAUAAUCAUCGUAUGUGCGGUGGUUGGGGCCAUCUUGUUACUUGCGAUUGCUAUUGGAUGCUGUUUGUGUACACACAAGAGAAAGAAAAAACCUUCACGUGGUAUGUGUUCUUUAGCUCAGUGGAUGUUUCUGGUACUAUGUAAGAACAUGCAGUGAUUUAUUUUUGCCAUUUUGUAGAAACUGUUGUUCUUGCAGCACCAGCGAAAAGGCUAGGGUCAUAUUUCAGUGAAGUAGCUACAGAAACAGCGCACAGAUUUGCUUUAUCAGAAAUUGAAGAUGCUACUGACAAAUUUGAGAGGAGGAUCGGCUCUGGAGGGUUUGGCAUAGUAUACUACGGAAAGCUGGCAGAUGGGAGAGAGAUCGCAGUCAAGCUUCUCACAAAUGACUCCUAUCAGGGCAUCCGAGAAUUCUUGAAUGAGGUCUGCUUCUGUUUUAGCCCUGUUUAUGUUUCUACUCCAAGUGUAGCUCUAUGGCCGUACAUACCUUUUUCACCGUUGAAGAGAUAAACACAGCAUGUUUACUUUUUUCUUCGAAAAGGAGGCGUACCCCCGGCCUCUGCAUCUCUUGAUGCACACAGCCAUAAACACAGCAUGUUUACUUGUUUCUGCUUUUAGUAUGGCUUUGUAGAUCGACGCCCUGUUGUGAAGCAAGAACCUGAUAAGUCGACCAUGCUACUUUUUCUUAAUCUAAUGACUUGUUAAUGUGCUGUAAGCAUGUGACAAUUUUUGCCUCAAUUAUACUUCUCUCUGUAUGUCACCACUGUAUGUUUCUGCAAUUUCGGUGCCUGGCGCUUGCCUUUUAAAUAUCCUUGCAUUCUGUGUCUACACAUCCCUCUUAUAGUCUGCUGUAAAGGUCUACUGAACAUCCAUGUCAUGAUGUGGUUGCACCAUUGCAUGCAAGAUAUACCAUAUGCUCAUGCAUUUCUUUCUUCUGGAUGUUGUCCUGAUGAGCUAGCUGGCUUAUUGUUUCAGGUGGCGUUGCUUUCGAGAAUACAUCACAGGAACUUGGUAACCUUCCUUGGUUACAGUCAACAAGACGGGAAGAACAUACUUGUGUACGAGUUCAUGCACAAUGGAACACUAAAGGAGCACCUUCGUGGUGAGUGCCCUUAGCUGAUGUUAAUUUUGUUUGGUGGGAUCAACAGCAUACUGUUGGCAUAUGCACCUAAUGUUUCUUUAGCGGCAAAACUUUGUCUGGGCAACUGUAUUUAGGAUCUUGUACAGAUGUUUAGUUGGUUGACCUCAAACUUGUACUUGGAUCAGCUUCUUUUUAAGGAUAGAUCAGCUUUUUGUUCUGUGUGGACAGGCCGCCAGGCCUGACAUUGCUGAUUUUUUAAGUAUCAUUAAGUAAUUCCAGUAGUACACAGAAAAUUUAGUUUUUUUAAGUAUCUAAAUUUUGAGGUCUAUUCUUCACACUUGAGCCGAGGACCGACAUGAACUGUUAGAUUAAUGUGCUCCUUACCCCAUAGAAUAGAAUAACAUAUAAAAUAUUAAACCUCUGAAUUAUGACGAUGUUUCACAGGAGGACCUAAUGAUGUGAAAAUAACUAGCUGGGUUAAGCGCCUUGAGAUAGCAGAAGAUGCUGCGAAAGGUCUGUCUCAGUUUCCUUCCUACUCUUCUACUAGCAUGCAAUCUGAAGAUUCUGAAUCUCUCUUUUUUUGUCUUGAAUAUUGCAAAUAUCAGGUAUAGAGUACCUCCAUACGGGAUGCUCUCCAACCAUAAUUCACAGAGAUGUUAAGAGUAGCAACAUUUUACUUGACAAGAACAUGCGGGCAAAAGUCGCAGACUUCGGCCUAUCAAAACCUGCAGUCGAUGGGUCUCAUGUAUCAAGCAUAGUUCGUGGGACGGUUGGGUAUCUUGAUCCAGAGUAAGACCAUCUUUCCUGAGCUCAUAGUGUUUGUUCUCUUUGCCAUGGUUUAGUGAUUUGAAGUGUUUGCUAUCCUGGUAGCAUCUGAGGUAUAAUUUUCUUUUUCUUCUUUUGAUGGCGACGAGUAGGUACUACAUCUCCCAGCAGCUAACAGAGAAGAGUGACAUAUACAGUUUUGGUGUCAUCCUACUUGAGCUAAUCUCUGGCCACGAGCCGAUCUCUAGUGAUAACUUUGGGCUCAACUGCCGUAACAUUGUGGCAUGGGUAAGUAUCUUGCGACCUGUUAGCUUUCUGCGUUUGGUUUAAGCUGAUAUUGAUGAGCAAUGCUGCCGAUGAAUGAACUGGAAUUGGCAGGCUAGGUCGCACAUUGAGAGUGGGAACAUUGACGCCAUCAUUGAUGCAUCACUGGAUACCGGCUACGACCUGCAGUCGGUGUGGAAGAUCGCGGAGGUGGGCAUCAUGUGUGUGAAGCCAAAGGGCGCGCAGAGGCCAACCAUCUCCGAGGUGCUCAAAGAGAUCCAGGAUGCCAUCGCCAUCGAGGUGCAGCGGGAGGCACCCCAAGUCCAGCAGCUCAUGUCCAAGAGGUCCAUGGGUUCUGUCUCGAUCAACACCGACAACAGUGUGGAUCUGGAGCAGAACGCGUCGUUUGAUGAAAUGCUCAUGCGGCCAGGCCUCAGGUAGAAUCAGGAUUCAUCAAGAGACACUUUUCGUGUAAGCAAGGAGGAGGCAAGGAUCAUGUGUUAGUUAGGCUUUACUUUUCCUGCUAAUGAUUUGAAAGCUGUGGAUGACAUUAGCUUUAGCUUGCAGUACAAAUUGGGAAUUUGAUGGUGAAAGAUUGGCGAUCUGGAACUGUUAUUUUCCUUGUUGUUCUUCGUAUUGGUUUCAAACUGUUAGGAUGUCAUCCUUGGUAGGGUAGGGGGGCAAGCAGACAGGAACUGCUGGAUUCAAUUUCACGACGGCAGAGGAAUGUUCAUCUCAAAACUAACACAGCCAUGUCGAUUGUUACUAAUAAGAUGAUCCAAAAAGCUUGCUUGAGAAAAACACAUUACAGCUAGUAACAAACAUCAAAUGUAGUCAAAAACCUUCAGUUUGAUGCCAAACAAUUGUCAGUUGAGCUAUAGAUGAUUGUCACAUUUGCUUUCAGUUUUUGAUUCAACAAACCCCACACCAAAACAUGAGCUUUCUAUGCACCACAAGACCUACCAGCGGCAAGUUACAAAUCAUGUACAAAGGAGUCUCUCGAAUCCCCAAGGCAAGAAAACAUUUACACAGCUACUAUGGCGAAAUAGAACAUACGCGCUAAACGGUGUCUCUCUUCUCAAGCCAGUUCCAUCGCACCCAAACCAUAUGUAUCCAUAUACUUCAAGGACCAACUGUUCAUGUAUGACUUCGCCUAGAAAGGAACCUGAUUGAUGACCAAGCAAGGGAACAAAACAGCGAUCAUUAAUGUGCCGGCACAUCCAGCAACGUUCACAACACCACACAAAACAAAAUAAUAAUUACACAAGGACAAAAAAGGGGACGCACACAAGUAUAUCAAAUUGGUGGAUAAAAUGUUGUGAACACAUACCUUGUGCUUGGAAGAUCUAGUUCAAACUCAGGAUCGUGUCGGCCCAUUUGCAUCAACUGCCUUCCAGUAGAACUUUCACGUACCAGCUCAUAAGCACAACCAUUAGACAAGCACUGUGCAACCAGUUACUUUCAGAACAAGAGACACGCCCAAAAUAGACGCGGAGAGGUCAAUAUUCACCUUCAAAGACAACUAAAGUCCAAAGGUUCUGUUAUACAUAUCAUUUGAACCCAGCAUGUGAAAGUUGUUAGCUUCAGUUGGAUAUAACAUCCUCGACAUGUCCGAUAUGGGAACAUUAUUCCCCUGUCUCAAAUCACUCCAGCCAUCCCAGUGACCAUUUGCAAGCUGUGAGUUUCUAGGUUGUUGGAGUGACAUCUGUGCAUAAGGGGAUAGAGAACCAUGGUUCUGUGGCAGAAGUCGGGAUGCCAGAUAAUUAUCAUUCUGAAUAGGGUUGAAUGCAUCUCGAAC
rnacentral:lncRNA from 1 species